rnacentral:rRNA from 1 species
UGGGGAAUUUUGGACAAUGGGCGAAAGCCUGAUCCAGCAAUGCCGCGUGUGUGAAGAAGGCCUUCGGGUUGUAAAGCACUUUGUCCGGAAAGAAAUCCUUGGCUCUAAUACAGUCGGGGGAUGACGGUACCGGAAGAAUAAGCACCGGCUAACUACGUGCCAGCAGCCGCGGUAAUACGUAGGGUGCAAGCGUUAAUCGGAAUUACUGGGCGUAAAGCGUGCGCAGGCGGUUUGCUAAGACCGAUGUGAAAUCCCCGGGCUCAACCUGGGAACUGCAUUGGUGACUGGCAGGCUAGAGUAUGGCAGAGGGGGGUAGAAUUCCACGUGUAGCAGUGAAAUGCGUAGAGAUGUGGAGGAAUACCGAUGGCGAAGGCAGCCCCCUGGGCCAAUACUGACGCUCAUGCACGAAAGCGUGGGGAGCAAACAGGAUUAGAUACCCUGGUAGUCCACGCCCUAAAACGAUGUCAACUAGUUGUUGGGGAUUCAUUUCCUUAGUAACGUAGCUAACGCGUGAAGUUGACCGCCUGGGGAGUACGGUCGCAAGAUUAAAACUCAAAUGAA